rnacentral:rRNA from 1 species
GAUGAACGCUAGCGGCAGGCCUAAUACAUGCAAGUCGAGCGGUGUCUUCGGACAUAGUGGCGCACGGGUGCGUAACACGUAUGCAACCUACCUUACAUCGGGGGAUAGCCUUUCGAAAGGGAGAUUAAUACCGCAUAAGACAGUAGCUGGGCAUCCAGCAGCUGUUAAAGAUUUAUCGAUGUAAGCUGGGCAUGCGUCCAAUUAGCUAGUUGGUGAGGUAACGGCUCACCAAGGCUAUGAUUGGUAGGGGAACUGAGAGGUCAAUCCCCCACACUGGCACUGAGAUACGGGCCAGACUCCUACGGGAGGCAGCAGUAGGGAAUAUUGGGCAAUGGACGCAAGUCUGACCCAGCCAUGCCGCGUGCAGGAUGAAGGCGUUAUGCGUUGUAAACUGCUUUUAUACAGGAAGAAACGACUCUUGCGAGAGGCAUUGACGGUACUGUAUGAAUAAGCACCGGCUAACUCCGUGCCAGCCGCCGCAGUAACAC